AGAGGGACAUACAGUAGUCAAUAGUGGGGUUACGGACUACCUGGGGGGCAGAGGACAGAGGGACAUACAGUAGUCAAUAGUGGGGUUACGGACUACCUGGGGGGCAGAGGACAGAGGGACAUACAGUAGUCAAUAGUGGGGUUACGGACUACCUGGGGGGCAGAGGACAGAGGGACAUACAGUAGUCAAUAGUGGGGUUAUGGACUACCUGGGGGGCAGAGGACAGAGGGACAUACAGUAGUCAAUAGUGGGGUUUUGGACUACCUGGGGGGCAGAGGGGAUAGGUACAUACAGUAGGGAGCAGAGGGUAUAGGUACAUACAGUAGGGGGCAGAGGGGAUAGGUACAUACAGUAGGGGGCAGAGGGUAUAGGUACAUACAGUAGGGGGCAGAGGGUAUAGGUACAUACAGUAGGGGGCAGAGGGGAUAGGUACAUACAGUAGGGGGCAGAGGGUAUAGGUACAUACAGUAGGGGGCAGAGGGUAUAGGUACAUACAGUAGGGAGCAGAGGGUAUAGGUACAUACAGUAGGGGGCAGAGGGGAUAGGUACAUACAGUAGGGGGCAGAGGGGAUAGGUACAUACAGUAGGGAGCAGAGGGUAUAGGUACAUACAGUAGGGGGCAGAGGGUAUAGGUACAUACAGUAGGGAGCAGAGGGUAUAGGUACAUACAGUAGGGAGCAGAGGGUAUAGGUACAUACAGUAGGGGGCAGAGGGUAUAGGUACAUACAGUAGGGAGCAGAGGGUAUAGGUACAUACAGUAGGGGGCAGAGGGUAUAGGUACAUACAGUAGGGAGCAGAGGGUAUAGGUACAUACAGUAGGGAGCAGAGGGUAUAGGUACAUACAGUAGGGAGCAGAGGGUAUAGGUACAUACAGUAUGGAGCAGAGGGGAUAGGUACAUACAGUAGGGGGCAGAGGGUAUAGGUACAUACAGUAGGGAGCAGAGGGGAUAGGUACAUACAGUAGGGGGCAGAGGGUAUAGGUACAUACAGUAGGGAGCAGAGGGUAUAGGUACAUACAGUAGGGAGCAGAGGGGAUAGGUACAUACAGUAGGGGGCAGAGGGGAUAGGUACAUACAGUAGGGGGCAGAGGGGAUAGGUACAUACAGUAGGGGGCAGAGGGGAUAGGUACAUACAGUAGGGGGCAGAGGGUAUAGGUACAUACAGUAGGGAGCAGAGGGUAUAGGUACAUACAGUAGGGAGCAGAGGGGAUAGGUACAUACAGUAUGGAGCAGAGGGGAUAGGUACAUACAGUAGGGGGCAGAGGGUAUAGGUACAUACAGUAGGGGGCAGAGGGGAUAGGUACAUACAGUAGGGAGCAGAGGGGAUAGGUACAUACAGUAGGGAGCAGAGGGUAUAGGUACAUACAGUAGGGAGCAGAGGGGAUAGGUACAUACAGUAUGGAGCAGAGGGGAUAGGUACAUACAGUAGGGAGCAGAGGGUAUAGUUACAGUAAACAGUGUGUUAGGUGGGCUUCCUUUGGGAUGUAGGGUACAGACAUAAUAGUCAAUAGUGGGUUAUGUAUUCCUACAGGGAAGCCCUACAGGGAAGCCCUACAGGGAAGCCCUUUGCUCCACUAAGAGCUACGUCUGUUGUCAGGUAUCCCUACCAGUGGGAGGCUUGGAACACAGUGAGUAGUGCUAUAUGCUGACUAAAACAGUACUGAGUAACCGUUAGUCACUUUAUCAAACACGUUUUUGCAACUAUUGCUGUAAUAUAGUCCAUUAUAUGUUGCGGUAAGAGAAAUCAUGCUUCUAUCAGGUCAGAUAUUGCUUCCAACUAGGACUGAGACAUUCCCUUAAUAAGCACAAUGUUAAAUGAUUCAUUCUACUACAAACGACCAUGUUAGCAUGCAUAUGGACAGGGUGUUAAUGUGGUUCAGAACAGACAAAUGUGUUCGGCACAGAGAACAGAAGACGAAAAAACAGCAGUCAAGUUUUCACAUUGUUAUUUAGCAACGACAUCAGCCGGUAGAACUCGCACUUCAAAAAAACAAAGCAACAAUCCAUUCUCACAGUCCUUACAGAAAUACUGUUUAGUGUUGUAGUAGUGUUUUGUUGGCCAACAAAAGUAUUUUCACUCUCAAACCAGUCCAUUUAUCCACAAUCAAAGUCGCAAGGCAUAGCUACUGCAGGUUAGAGCGAGCGAUAGAAAGGGCUAGAGAGGGUAAAGAUGAGGUGGGAGAGGCCACACUUGAGAUCGUUUCCCACUCGUUGAGGCAGUUUGGUGUCGGUGCGGCUCGGCGGGCGGAGCGUGCUUGGCAUUGGACAGUGAUUGGUUGA